GGACUCAAGUGAUCCACCUGUCUCAACCUCUUAAAGUGCUGGGAUUACACACUCUUUAAAAAUGUUCUCUGUACAAUAUUUCGUAAAGGUUGAGAAUAAGGAAAGACAUUGCCCCUUUAAGCAAAGUGGUAAGGCAACAUAUAAAAACGACUCAAUCCACAAUAGUGAGAAUUUCCGUUAAUUACAUUCUAAAGUUUUUUUGUUUAAAAUGAAUUGAGGGAGUACAGUAUGCUCUUCAAGAUAAUGAACAGAGAAAAAUGCCCAAUGACUGCUAGCCAUCCCAAUAAUGUAUUUACUCUACGUUGUGUUAUUUUGUUUCUGCAGUAGGACCCAACUGAUUAGAAAGGAAAUUACAUAGUCAGUGACCAGCUGAGACUGAGUACGGACAGAGGAAGAAGCUAACUUACAUCUAAAGAGACCUGAAGUCAGGAGACAUUUCUAGAUAAACCCCUCAGCCAGAUAACAUCAACCCAUGACUUCCAAUACCAUUGCUGAAGAGGUCACAGAGGAGAGAGAAUCCUGAGAAGAUUUUUAAAAUCUGAAAGUUCUUGUAUUAAAAGAAGUGGGAAGUUUCUUGGUCUAAACUCUCAGCUGUGAGUACUAAUUUGUGGCGUGAUGGUGAGGUGAAAUGGCAGAGGCCCAUGGCACAUCAUUGCAGAAUAUGCGUUAGACUUUCACAAGUCAUCAGUCAUGAAUUUCAGGAUCUGGCUGCUUGUCUUCAUGGGAGACGUCAGGAACCCACCACUUAACCACACAAGGGCCCAACUCAUCGAGCAUUACAGCUUGGGGAAGAAACGCCAGCCGCGAGCCAGAGAAACAAAAACGAGGGGCUGUCCCUAAAAUGCAGGAUCCAAGGGCCUGGAGCUGGAGAGAAAUCAGGCAGCACCUCACAGAAUCCAGGCUCACAGAAAGUCUGUUUCGAUCAGAAUUUAAAACAACCCUCUUCCUGCUGCAACUCUUCAGGCCACUGACAAGGUGACAGGAUCACAUUUUGUACAGGAUACAAACAUAUUCCCUAUGGGUGGACAAAACGACCCCGUAGCCCAUCUACACCAAGGAGCUGCACCUGUGCCCUGUGUAGCCAGAUGCAAUUUUCUAUUAUUGGAAAAUCCACUUUAAGUUGUUCCUUAGCAAAUUCUUCCCAAGUACUGUUUCCUUUCCUCAAUUCCUGGCCUAGCAAGUCUAGAAAGAAAACAAAAAGAAUGUAAAAUGUUCUUGGUUGACUUUACUCUUAAUUACUAAAAAGCAAACAGAGAAAAUUAAAAUCAAACACAUGCAAAAAAUUCUUCUAGAGCCUUGCACACAAUGCCAGUUCUUGAAAUAUUUCAUAAAGCAAAGCUAAUGAAAUAAACAAAGACGUGGCUGAAAGGA
rnacentral:lncRNA from 1 species